rnacentral:lncRNA from 1 species
GGUGUUGAUACAUUGUUAUUAUACUAAUAUUACUUGAUUUGGAUUAUUUCUGGCGGUUUCUUUACUGUUUUCUUGCUAUUCUUUAAGGUUAUAAUGAUAAGUAGAGGGAGGUGUAGAAAACAUUUCUUUUGAAGGAUGGAAGUUUGGACGGCCUAUUUAUAGGCAACCGCUUCUUGCACUUGUUAUUCUUUGCGAUUGUGCACAUCUAUCUCCGAUGUUAAUCUAUUGUUGAUCUAUUACUCUGCAUUCAUUUCCCUAGCGUUCUGGUCCUUCGAUGAUCUGCACUUCCCCUCCCUGCAGUGAUCUACUGUUCAUCGCGCUGCCGUUUGCUUAUGUGCAGUGCUG